rnacentral:piRNA from 1 species
UGCGUGGUGGAAAGGUUCUGU